UGGCUAGGACGGUAGAGAAUUGGAAAAGAAGAGGACCUAAACCCAUUUAUUAUGUUCUUUUAUCAGCACUAGAAAUAGAGUUUUUGUUUUGGAAAAAUGUGCCAGCCACUUAUAAUCUUCUUUAGGUACCAAGUACUUUUCCUUGGAGGGGUAAUUCUUUUCCCUUUCUUGUCUGAGUUGACAGAGCUUGACCAAGAAACAGAAUUAUAUACUGACCCCCCAGCACCAGGGGUGAGUAUAUAAUUGAAGCCUAAGUCAUUAUUUUCUAACGUUGAUUGUAUACAAUGUCAAUGGACAACAACUCAAUUGUAUGACAUCCCCCAAGCCUCAGGGAUUGAUUCGGGAUGGUCAGACGAUGACCUGGUUCUGGUCAAUAAGACUCAGGCCUUGAAUAUUUGUGGGGGUUGCUUAGAAGACGCCCCAUAAGCCUGAAACUGCUAGCAGCUCUCUGGACUCUGUAAAGGGAGGAACUGCCUGAGACAGACAAACAGAGUUGACUGAUAGAGAAAGACUGGGUUUUGUUGACAUUGAAGCUGGCUUUACCUGGAUAGGUGAAUUUACAUGUGAUUAAGUUUAACUUGCUUUCUGCCUUAAUCUAGGCUAAGCAGGGCCCCUACUUAAAGAUCAUUGCUACUAAAAAUUAUUGAUAUACCCAUUCAUAGACUUUAAAGAAAAUGCCAGUGGAGAAUUCCCUGGUGGUCUAGAGAUUAGGACUCCAUGCUUCCAAUGACAGGGGUUGGGGUUCGAUCCCAGGUUGGGGAACUAAGAUCCCAUAAGCCAAGUGGUGCAGCCAGGGGAAAAAAAGAAAGAAGAUGCCGGUAAAGGGUUGUCCUUAAAGAGGAUCUUGCCGCUGAAAUGAUAUGAAGGCUGGGAAAGCCCAAGAUCAAGACGACAACUGAUCUGACAUGUGUGCGGCGGCGGCGGAAGGCGCGACGGCAGAGGAAAACUUCUCGCUGCGGUGAGCGCUCAACCAGACUGCGCUGCGCCGCGCCGAGCCGGGGCCGCCGCUCCGGCCGCGGGAGCCUGACGUCUCCCCACUUCGUAUUGAUUUGGAGGAACUUGAGUGAGAGAGAAUCGUGUUUAUAAUGAUAUGAACACCUCUUUUUCCCUUUGGAGGGGACUUAGGAUGUGACUAUAUAAAACAAAACCCACUUUUGUCAUGUGUGCGUGACAGCUCCAACUGAGAAUCUUGCAAACUUUAUACACAAAACAAAGCCAUCACUGAUGUUACUGCCAGGAUGCAGGAGCUACUGGCCAGAGAUCCCCACUAAGAACUCACUCCCACAUUUCCAGAUGAGUGCUACGAGAUGAGGUUCUUAAACUAAGACUCCUAAUUUGGUGCCCUGCUAAAAGGAAAAACCAAGGCAACCAAAAAUAGACAUACACUGACUCCUUAUACAGUUGAGAAUUUUGACAGAAUAACAUGCAGAGGAGUGGAGAAUUCAAGGUGGGUAGGAAGACUGGGGGAGAAGACGAUGGCACCCCACUCCAGUACUUUUGCCUGGAAAAUCCCAUGGACGGAGGAGCCUGAUAGGCUCCAGUCCAUGGGGUCGCUAAGAGUCUGGCAUGGCUGAGUGACUUAACUUUCACUUUUCCCUUUCAUGCAUUGGAGAAGGAAAUGGCAACCCACUCCAGUGUUCUUGCCUGGAGAAUCCCAGGGACAGAGGAGCCUAGUGGGCUGCUGUCUAUGGGGUCGCACAGAGUCGGACACGACUGCAGUGACUUAGCAGCAGCAGCAGGAAGACUGGGAUCACAAACGAAUGCAACACACCUUGGCAAAAAUAAAACCCAUCUAAAAAGAACAGGCCAAAUAAAAUUAAAAAGUAAAUAAUUAAAAUAAAAAGAACAGGCCUUGGGACUUCCCCGGUGCUCCAGUGGUUAAGAAUCCACCUUGCAACGCAGGGGUUUGAUCCCUGGUUGGGGAACUAAGAUCCUGUAAGACACAGAGCAAUUUAGCCCAUGUACCACAACUGCUGAGCCUGUGCACCACAAUGAAAGAUCCUGCAUGUAGAAACUAAGACCCAGCAUGGUCAAAUAAAUAAAAUAGAUUAAUUUAAAAAAGAACAGGCCUGGUUUGCCUUCUCUUGCUUAGUAGAAUACACAGUUCUGGUCAUAAGAACUCUCCCAUAGAUAGAUGAGAUAAAUGUGGAGAUUAUCCUGCAUAAUCUGGAUGGCUCAUUGUUACCACAAGGUACUUACAAGGGAAAGAAGAAAGCAGGAGAGUCAGAGAAGACAUGACAUCAGAGGCAGAGCUGGGGAGAUGCAUCCUAAGGAAGGCUUCCCUAAUCAUUGCUGGUUUUGAAGAUGACGGGAGGUACCAUGAGUGAAGGGAGGCUGCAGCCCCCAAAAGAUGAGAAAGGCAAGAGAACAGUCUUUUCUGGAGCCUCCAGAAGGAAUCAGCCCUGUCCAUACCUUGAUUUUAGCCCAUGAGACCCACUGUCAGAUCACC
ensembl:lncRNA